UCACCUCUCUCAGAGACUCUCUCUCUCGCCCAAGCUUUGCAGAUCCUCGAAACUGGUACCUACCGCCGACACCGACGAGCUCCUCCACUGACGUUGAUGAGUUCCACGGACCGGAAUCUACCAUCGAGGUUGACGAGCUCUUCCUUUCCUUCACCAAAUAAGCUGUAACAACAGCUCCUCCUUUACCCAGACACAACAGAACAAUUUCUUAAGGCACACAGCAGCAGGGUCUCUAGUUUGAAAUCGGUUUCUUUUUCCAUUAUUGGGAAGUGCUUCCCAUCUCGAGGACUUCAAGACCUGGACGCUUUCAAGUUUCCUAUUCGGUAAGUUAUUUCAUUGUAAUACUAUUGUGACUCGAGUUUUUGGUUUGUUUACCCCAACAAUCUCAUAGAUAAAUUUUUACAUUCUUGGAUUUUAAUCAAUAGGUCCAGUUUAAUUGUGUGGCAUUGGAUGAGAAGUUUUCAGUGUUACCUUAUGUUUAUGAUUUAUGCCUCUUUUCAGAGAGGUUCUAUAGUGAAAUACAAUAUCCUUUGUAUACCAGAACCAUGUGAUAGGUUUCUUGUUUAA
rnacentral:lncRNA from 1 species